rnacentral:rRNA from 1 species
GACGAACGCUGGCGGCGUGCUUAACACAUGCAAGUCGAACGAAGUGGCGAACGGGUGAGUAACGCGUAAUCAACCUGCCCUUCAGAGGGGGACAACAGUUGGAAACGACUGCUAAUACCGCAUACGGAAGGAGGGGAUUGCGUCGGAUUGGCUAGUUGGAGGGGUAACGGCCCACCAAGGCGAUGAUCAGUAGCAGGGCGGAGGGGGUGAACCGGCAAAUUGGGACUGAGAAACGGCCCAGACUCCUUAGGGAGGCAGCAGUGGGGAAUCUUCCGGAAUUGACGAAAGUCUGACGGAGCAACGCCGCGUGAGUUAUGACGGCCUUCUGGUUGUAAAGCUCUGUUAAUCGGGACGCGGUACCGGAAUAGAAAGCCACGGCUAACUACGUGCCAGCAGCCGCGGUAAUAC